AUUUAAACAAGCUGUUUGGAUUCAGGGGGGACACCACAGGGAAUUGCCCCAGUAACGGCGAGUGAAGCGGCAACAGCUCAAAUUUGAAAUCUGGCCCCCAGGGCCCGAGUUGUAAUUUGCAGAGGAUGCUUUUGGCGCGGUGCCUUCCGAGUUCCCUGGAACGGGACGCCAUAGAGGGUGAGAGCCCCGUCUGGUCGGACGCCUAGCCUGUGUAAAGCUCCUUCGACGAGUCGAGUAGUUUGGGAAUGCUGCUCUAAAUGGGAGGUAUAUGUCUUCUAAAGCUAAAUACCGGCCAGAGACCGAUAGCGCACAAGUAGAGUGAUCGAAAGAUGAAAAGCACUUUGAAAAGAGGGUUAAAUAGUACGUGAAAUUGUUGAAAGGGAAGCGCUUGUGACCAGACUUGGGCCCGGUGGAUCAUCCAGCGUUCUCGCUGGUGCACUCCGCCGGGUUCAGGCCAGCAUCAGUUCGCCGCGGGGGAAAAAGGCUUCGGGAACGUGGCUCCUACGGGAGUGUUAUAGCCCGUUGCAUAAUACCCUGGGGCGGACUGAGGUUCGCGCUCCGCAAGGAUGCUGGCGUAAUGGUCAUCAGCGACCCGUCUUGAAACACGGACCAAGGAGUCGUCUUCGUAUGCGAGUGUUCGGGUGUAAAACCCCUACGCGUAAUGAAAGUGAACGCAGGUGAGAGCUUCGGCGCAUCAUCGACCGAUCCUGAUGUUCUCGGAUGGAUUUGAGUAAGAGCAUACGGGGCCGGACCCGAAAGAAGGUGAACUAUGCCUGUAUAGGGUGAAGCCAGAGGAAACUCUGGUGGAGGCUCGCAGCGGUUCUGACGUGCAAAUCGAUCGUCAAAUAUGGGCAUGGGGGCGAAAGACUAAUCGAACUCAUGUGGUCCUAUAAAAAUAUUCCCUCCCUG
rnacentral:rRNA from 1 species